UACGAAGGGUGCAAGCGUUACUCGGAAUUACUGGGCGUAAAGCGUGCGUAGGUGGUGAGUUAAGUCUGUCGUGAAAGCCCCGGGCUCAACCUGGGAAUGGCGAUGGAUACUGGCUCGCUAGAGUGCGGUAGAGGAGAGUGGAAUUCCCGGUGUAGCGGUGAAAUGCGCAGAUAUCAGGAGGAACACCGGUGGCGAAGGCGGGACUCUGGGCCGAUACUGACGCUGAGGAGCGAAAGCGUGGGGAGCAAACAGG
rnacentral:rRNA from 1 species